rnacentral:rRNA from 1 species
GAGUAACACGUGGGUAACCUGCCUGUAAGACUGGGAUAACUCCGGGAAACCGGAGCUAAUACCGGAUAGUUCCUUGAACCGCAUGGUUCAAGGAUGAAAGACGGUUUCGGCUGUCACUUACAGAUGGACCCGCGGCGCAUUAGCUAGUUGGUGGGGUAAUGGCUCACCAAGGCGACGAUGCGUAGCCGACCUGAGAGGGUGAUCGGCCACACUGGGACUGAGACACGGCCCAGACUCCUACGGGAGGCAGCAGUAGGGAAUCUUCCGCAAUGGACGAAAGUCUGACGGAGCAACGCCGCGUGAGUGAUGAAGGUUUUCGGAUCGUAAAGCUCUGUUGUUAGGGAAGAACAAGUGCGAGAGUAACUGCUCGCACCUUGACGGUACCUAACCAGAAAGCCACGGCUAACUACGUGCCAGCAGCCGCGGUAAUACGUAGGUGGCAAGCGUUGUCCGGAAUUAUUGGGCGUAAAGGGCUCGCAGGCGGUUUCUUAAGUCUGAUGUGAAAGCCCCCGGCUCAACCGGGGAGGGUCAUUGGAAACUGGGAAACUUGAGUGCAGAAGAGGAGAGUGGAAUUCCACGUGUAGCGGUGAAAUGCGUAGAGAUGUGGAGGAACACCAGUGGCGAAGGCGACUCUCUGGUCUGUAACUGACGCUGAGGAGCGAAAGCGUGGGGAGCGAACAGGAUUAGAUACCCUGGUAGUCCACGCCGUAAACGAUGAGUGCUAAGUGUUAGGGGGUUUCCGCCCCUUAGUGCUGCAGCUAACGCAUUAAGCACUCCGCCUGGGGAGUACGGUCGCAAGACUGAAACUCAAAGGAAUUGACGGGGGCCCGCACAAGCGGUGGAGCAUGUGGUUUAAUUCGAAGCAACGCGAAGAACCUUACCAGGUCUUGACAUCCUCUGACAACCCUAGAGAUAGGGCUUUCCCUUCGGGGACAGAGUGACAGGUGGUGCAUGGUUGUCGUCAGCUCGUGUCGUGAGAUGUUGGGUUAAGUCCCGCAACGAGCGCAACCCUUGAUCUUAGUUGCCAGCAUUCAGUUGGGCACUCUAAGGUGACUGCCGGUGACAAACCGGAGGAAGGUGGGGAUGACGUCAAAUCAUCAUGCCCCUUAUGACCUGGGCUACACACGUGCUACAAUGGACAGAACAAAGGGCUGCAAGACCGCAAGGUUUAGCCAAUCCCAUAAAUCUGUUCUCAGUUCGGAUCGCAGUCUGCAACUCGACUGCGUGAAGCUGG